AAUCAACGCUGGCGGCGUGCCUCAGACAUGCAAGUCGAACGCGAAAGUCCCCUUCGGGGAGUGAUUAGAGUGGCGCACGGGUGAGUAACACGUAGGUAAUCUACCUUCGAGUGGGGAAUAACUCAGGGAAACUUGAGCUAAUACCGCAUAAUGCAGCGGCACCACAUGGUGACAGUUGUUAAAGCAUUUAUGCGCUUGAAGAGGAGCCUGCGGCGGAUAGUCUAGUUGGUAAGGUAAUGGCUUACCAAGGCUACGAUCUGUAACCGGCCUGAGAGGGCGGACGGUCACACUGACACUGAAUAACGGGUCAGACUCC
rnacentral:rRNA from 1 species